rnacentral:rRNA from 1 species
ACCCACGACAAAUCUUACCACUUCUUGCAUAUUCUAGUUCGUUAAAGUGAAGAUAAUUUAAUUUAUUUAUAAAUACUAUAACUAUAGUAUUCUGAAUGGAUUUUAACUUCCCUUAACAACACUUGAAUACAGGUGUUGCAUGGCUGUCUUUAGUUCGUGUUGUGAAAUGUUAGGUUCAUUCCGUGAACGAACGCAAUCCUUAUCUUUAAUUACAAUUAUAUUCCAUUCGAUGAAUGAAUACGAAAGUUGAAUUCAAUUUAAUUCAACUUUAAAAUGAAUGAGUUUAAUUAAAAUGAAUGAAUUAGUUGUUUAAUAAGUUCAAAUUCAUUUAUUGGUUGAAACGUUUUAAUUCCUUCAAUUCUUAUUUUAUUUUAAUAUAAUUUAAAAUGAAUGAAUUUAAUUUAAAUUGUAAGUAACUAAUUUCAAUUGAAUUAAUAUUAACUAAAAUUAAAGAAGUAUCUUUUGAUAAGAAAGAAUAAUUAGGACGAAGACAAGUCCUCAUGACCCUUAUGGAGUGGGCUACAGACGUGCCACAAAGAUUUCUACAAUGGGAAGCAAAGAUCCAAGUCCGAGCAAAUCCUUAAAAGAA